rnacentral:sRNA from 1 species
AAGUGUGCCUUUUUUUCCAAAGCAGCGAGCUUGUCAUUUUAUAUGUAGAUCUAUAGAGUAUUUGAAGCUACACACAAUUUGUACUGUGCCUUCGUUCAGACAUGAAUAUUUAUUUCACUCUAGUAAUAUUUUCAACACUUUUUCAUUUAGGUCAUGGUCAAGAAGGGACUGUGAAAGUAUUUUUGGAACCGAUCAUGCCUUUGAAGGGACGCCCGUUCACGGUUCAAUGUCUUUUAGGAAUCGACGCCGAUGCUGCUUUGGCCGUUCAAGGA